CCGAGCUAAUGACGCCGAGCAUAUAAAAAGGAUGUUAGAAUCAGUCGAUUCUGAGGGUGAUACUCCUCUUCAUCAUGCUGCAAGAGGUGAGCAUGCUGAUGUAAUUAGGUUGUUGCUUUCUAAUGGUGCAUCAGCCACAAAGGAAAACUUAUAUGGAAAGACCCCUGCAGAGUUACCUGAACACGACACAGAU